rnacentral:rRNA from 1 species
AGAGUUUGAUCCUGGCUCAGAUUGAACGCUGGCGGCAGGCCUAACACACGCAAGUCGAGCGGUAGAGAGAAGCUUGCUUCUCUUGAGAGCGGCGGACGGGUGAGUAAUGCCUAGGAAUCUGCCUAGUGAUGGGGGAUAACGUUCGGAAACGGGCGCUAAUACCGCAUACGUCCUACGGGAGAAAGCGGGGGACCUUCGGGCCUCGCGCCAUUAGAUGAGCCUAGGUCGGAUUAGCUAGUUGGUGAGGUAAUGGCUCACCAAGGCGACGAUCCGUAACUGGUCUGAGAGGAUGAUCAGUCACACUGGAACUGAGACACGGUCCAGACUCCUACGGGAGGCAGCAGUGGGGAAUAUUGGACAAUGGGCGAAAGCCUGAUCCAGCCAUGCCGCGUGUGUGAAGAAGGUCUUCGGAUUGUAAAGCACUUUAAGUUGGGAGGAAGGGUAGUAACUUAAUACGUUGCUACUUUGACGUUACCGACAGAAUAAGCACCGGCUAACUUCGUGCCAGCAGCCGCGGUAAUACGAAGGGUGCAAGCGUUAAUCGGAAUUACUGGGCGUAAAGCGUGCGCAGGCGGUUUUGUAAGUCAGAUGUGAAAUCCCCGAGCUCAACUUGGGAACUGCGUUUGAAACUACAAGACUAGAAUAUGUCAGAGGGGGGUAGAAUUCCACGUGUAGCAGUGAAAUGCGUAGAGAUGUGGAGGAAUACCAAUGGCGAAGGCAGCCCCCUGGGAUAAUAUUGACGCUCAUGCACGAAAGCGUGGGGAGCAAACAGGAUUAGAUACCCUGGUAGUCC